GUUUAUGAGUGCACCAAUCGACACUCUGUAUCUAGCUGCUCUGGUGGGGUCUUGGAGAACAUUUAUGUCUAGCUAAAGGAUUGUAAAUACACCAAUUGGCACUCUGUAUCUAGCUCAAGGUUUGUAAACACACCAAUCAGCACCCUGUGUUUAGCUCAGGGUUUGUGAGUGCACCAAUCGACACUCUGUAUCUAGCUGCUCUGGUGGGGCCUUGGAGAACCUUUGUGUGGAUACUCUGUAUCUAACUAAUCUGAUGGAAACGUGGAGAACCUUUGUGUCUAGCUCGGGGAUUGUAAAUGCACCAAUCAGCGCCCUGUCAAAACAGACCACUGGGCUCUACCAAUCAGCAGGACGUGGGUGGGGCCAGAUAAGAGAAUAAAAGCAGGCUGCCCCAGCCAGCAGUGGCAACCCGCUCGGGUCCCCUUACACAUUGUGGAAGCUUUGUUCUUUCACUCUUUGCUUUAAAUCUUGCUGCUGCUCACUCACUCUUUGGGUCCACACUGCUUUUAUGAGCUGUAACACUCACUGCAAAAGUCUGCAGCUUCACUCUUGAAGCCAGUGAGACCAGGAGCCCACCAGGGAGAAAGAGCAACUCCAGAUGCGCUGCCUUAAGAGCUGUAACACUCACCGCAAUGGUCUGCAGCUUCACUCCUGAGCCAGCGAGACCCCGAACCCACCAGAAGGAAGAAACUCCGAACACAUCCAAAUAUCAGAAGGAACAAACUCCAGACGCGCCACCUUAAGAGCUGUAACAUUCACCGCGAGGGUCCGCGGCUUCAUUCUUGAAGUCAGUGAGACCAAGAACGCACCAAUUCUGGACACACCAUCAGCAGUGUUGAGACUUUCUUGCAAAAAUGCCUGUUUGGGAUUCCUCAGAGUACAGACAAAAAGGAAGGCUUGAUCAGCAUGUGGUGGAUCUGAAGAUUCAAAGAGGUGCCACAGCUCAAAAGUAGACAUUUUGGCAAAUGUGAAGAAGUGAGAUUCAAUGAAGAUGAUAAGAAAUGAAAGGUGUUACCAAAAGCAUCCUGUGGUGACUGAAGAAGGGCCUAGCAGC
rnacentral:lncRNA from 1 species